rnacentral:rRNA from 1 species
AGAGUUUGAUUCUGGCUCAGGAUGAACGCUGACAGAAUGCUUAACACAUGCAAGUCUACUUGAUCCUUCGGGUGAAGGUGGCGGACGGGUGAGUAACGCGUAAAGAACUUGCCUUACAGACUGGGACAACAUUUGGAAACGAAUGCUAAUACCGGAUAUUAUGAUUGGGUCGCAUGAUCUGGUUAUGAAAGCUAUAUGCGCUGUGAGAGAGCUUUGCGUCCCAUUAGUUAGUUGGUGAGGUAACGGCUCACCAAGACGAUGAUGGGUAGCCGGCCUGAGAGGGUGAACGGCCACAAGGGGACUGAGACACGGCCCUUACUCCUACGGGAGGCAGCAGUGGGGAAUAUUGGACAAUGGACCAAAAGUCUGAUCCAGCCAAUUCUGUGUGCACGAUGAAGUUUUUCGGAAUGUAAAGUGCUUUCAGUUGGGAAGAAGUCAGUGACGGUACCAACAGAAGAAGCGACGGCUAAAUACGUGCCAGCCGCGGC